AAGAUCAUGCCAAGAUCUUACAUAAAUCCUGCAAGAUCAUGGAAAGAUCUUGCAAGAUCUUUCCAAGUUCUUGCAGGAUCUUACCUAAGAUCUUGCAGGAUCUUGCAAGAUUCCCUUUGUUUUCUCUCAAAUAUUGAGCAAGAUCUUGCAUGAUCUUGCAAGAUCUUUCCAAGUUCUUGCAGGAUCUUACCUAAGAUCUUGCAGGAUCUUGCAAGAUCUUUCCAUGUUCUUGCAGGAUCUUACCUAAGAUCUU
rnacentral:sRNA from 1 species